rnacentral:rRNA from 1 species
CACCGGCGCCACAAGUGGCGAUCGUGUAUUUGGCCUAAAGCGUCCGUAGCUGGCGCUGUAAAUUUCUUGUGAAAUCGUUGAGCUUAACUUAACGGCGUGCAGGAAACACUGCAGUGCUUGAGACCGGGAAGAGUUAGAGGUAUUUUGUGGGGAGCGGUAAAAUGCUAUAAUCCACGGAAGACCACCAGUGGCGAAGGCGUCUGACUUGAACGGAUCUGACAGUGAGGGACGAAAGCUAGGGGAGC